rnacentral:lncRNA from 7 species
AUCAAGAUCCGUUUGAAAAAGGGAUGGUUGAUACAUUCAAGAUUAAGACUAAAAAAUUAGGAAGCUACAUUCAAUUGAAAUUGGUCAUGAUGGAAAAGGAUUUGCAAGUGGCUGGUUUCUGGAAAAAGUAGAAAUCAUGGAUGCAUCCAGGAAUUCAGUGUAUUGCUUCAACUGUAACAGGUGGCUUGCUGGGGAUGGAAGCAACGGUAGCACCGUAGUGCGACUUUAUCCAUAGCUGCUCAUUUUCUGAUUUUUCCAUAGUGUGCUGCUUUUCCAAAUUCCUGCUUGUUUGAUUUGCUUGUAUGUUAUAAUUCUGAAGGUAUUGUAAUUACUGUGAAGGAAUGUCAAAACAAUGCAUUAAAAGCAUCACAGUAAAUUAAACAUGUCUAAUGUGAACACUGUGUUCCAAUCCUACCAGAGUUGCUGAAAAUGACUGAAAUUUAGAAAACAUAAAUUUUAAUCUGUAACAUGGCUCUGUGGACUUGAGCUGAGCGUUCAUAAUAGUAGAUAUAUUUAGUAACACAUUUUUAUUUCAGUAAUAAUUUGUGAGUAAGUUGAAGUUAGCUCUUGGGUCAAAUCUGCCAAUUUUUAUUAAACUCUGAUAAAUUGUUUCAAUUUCUACAUUUAUUAAAAAUAAUAUUUCCUCAAAAUCAUUUUCCAAACAAGCUGCACAACUCUUUGGCCCUAACGUGUGUUACUUCCUUUUUCCAUGAGGCCAGGUAUGUAACAGAGAGCAAUAAAGAAUUUGUUAUUCAGGCGUUCAACCUGUGGCAGUAAGCUUCCCACAGGCAUCUGACUGCAAAAUCUUGUAGCUGAGCCAGAACCUCAGCUAAGAUCCUUCAGAUCCAAAGGGUCUCUUAAGAGAGACUUUUCCAUCAUCUCUUAUCACUAGUACUGCAAUAGCUCACUGGCUAGCUUAGGCAGCUCCCUGCUCAGCUUGCUGAUUUUUUCAGUGCCCAUUCUUAGGCAUCUGUCUGCCUCUCUAAUGCUUUAUGUGCACAUGUCAUUACUUCAAAAAGGUAAUUUUUUGAAGUUAUUUUUGAAAACAUACCAUAAAUAGAAACAUAUUUAGCAAUAAAUACACAAAAUAAUAAGCAAAUAAUAAGUGGCUUGAUGUUUGGUUUGGUAUUGCUGGAGUUGACAGUUGGCUGAGGAAGAGUUUAGAAUAAUGAAGAGUCUGAAAUGGAAGCAUGAGUUGCACACCAGCAGAAGUUUGAUGUCUGUGAUCAGAAUACAAAUACUGUGUAUUAACUACACGGGGCAUCCCUCUGUUUAAUCAAAGGCUCCACCUUUAGUACCUCCAAAACUUAAAAUCUGUAUGAAGAUCUGAACUUUAGACCUGUUUCACCUCCAAGGCACUACUAUGUUUUGUAGCAGCAAUGUACUUUCUAUAAUCACAAGAAUUAAAUGAAUCUCUAU